AGUGAACGCUGGCGGUAGGCCUAACACAUGCAAGUCGAACGGCAGCACAGGAGAGCUUGCUCUCUGGGUGGCGAGUGGCGGACGGGUGAGGAAUACAUCGGAAUCUACUUUUUCGUGGGGGAUGACGUAGGGAAACUUACGCUAAUACCGCAUACGACCUACGGGUGAAAGCAGGGGACCUUCGGGCCUUGCGCGAUUGAAUGAGCCGAUGUCGGAUUAGCUAGUUGGCGGGGUAAAGGCCCACCAAGGCGACGAUCCGUAGCUGGUCUGAGAGGAUGAUCAGCCACACUGGAACUGAGACACGGUCCAGACUCCUACGGGAGGCAGCAGUGGGGAAUAUUGGUCAAUGGGCGCAAGCCUGAUCCAGCCAUACCGCGUGGGUGAAGAAGGUCUUCGGGUUGUAAAGCCCUUUUGUUGGGAAAGAAAUCCAGCUGGCUAAUACCCGGUUGGGAUGACGGUACCCAAAGAAUAAGCACCGGCUAACUUCGUGCCAGCCGCCGCCGUAA
rnacentral:rRNA from 1 species